rnacentral:rRNA from 1 species
CUACGGGUCGCUGCAGUGGGGAAUAUUGCACAAUGGAGGAAACUCUGAUGCAGCAACGCCGCGUGGAGGAUGACACAUUUCGGUGCGUAAACUCCUUUUAUGAGUCAAGAUAAUGACGGUAGCUCAUGAAUAAGCGCCGGCUAACUCCGUGCCAGCAGCCGCGGUAAUACGGAGGGCGCAAGCGUUACUCGGAAUCACUGGGCGUAAAGAGCGUGUAGGCGGGUAGAUAAGUUUGAAGUGAAAUCCAAUGGCUUAACCAUUGAACUGCUUUGAAAACUGUCUACCUAGAAUAUGGGAGAGGUAGAUGGAAUUUCUGGUGUAGGGGUAAAAUCCGUAGAGAUCAGAAGGAAUACCGAUUGCGAAGGCGAUCUACUGGAACAUUAUUGACGCUGAGACGCGAAAGCGUGGGGAGCAAACAGGAUUAGAUACCCCCGUAGUC